rnacentral:rRNA from 1 species
UACGUAGGGGGCAAGCGUUGUCCGGAUUCAUUGGUCGUAAAGAGCGUGUAGGCGGCCAGGUAGGUCGGUUGUGAAAACUGGAGGCUCAACCUUCAGACGUCGACCGAAACCAUCUGGCUAGAGUCCGGGAGAGGAGAGUGGAAUUCCUGGUGUAGCGGUGAAAUGCGCAGAUAUCAGGAAGAACACCCGUGGCGAAAGCGGCUCUCUGGAACGGUACUGACGCUGAGACGCGAAAGCGUGGGGAGCGAACAGG